AGAGUUUGAUCCUGGCUCAGGAUGAACGCUGGCGGUAUGCUUAACACAUGCAAGUCGAACGGAACUCUUCGGAGUUCAGUGGCGGACGGGUGAGUAACGCGUGAGAAUCUGGCUUCAGGUUCGGGACAACCAUUGGAAACGAUGGCUAAUACCGGAUGUGCCGCAGGGUGAAAGAUUAAUUGCCUGAAGAUGAGCUCGCGUCUGAUUAGCUAGUUGGUGGGGUAAGAGCCUACCAAGGCGACGAUCAGUAACUGGUCUGAGAGGAUGACCAGUCACACUGGGACUGAGACACGGCCCAGACUCCUACGGGAGGCAGCAGUGGGGAAUUUUCCGCAAUGGGCGAAAGCCUGACGGAGCAACGCCGCGUGAGCGAAGAAGGCCUUCGGGUUGUAAAGCUCAGUCAUUCGGGAAGAGCGGACCGGAGAGGGAAUGCUCGGGUCGAGACGGUACCGGAAGAGGAAGCCCCGGCUAACUACGUGCCAGCAGCCGCGGUAAUACGUAGGGGGCGAGCGUUGUCCGGAAUCACUGGGCGUAAAGGGUGCGUAGGCGGCCCUGUAAGUCCGGGGUGAAAACUCAGGGCUCAACCCUGAGAAUGCCCUGGAAACUGUGGGGCUUGAGUGCUGGAGAGGCAAGUGGAAUUCCACGUGUAGCGGUGAAAUGCGUAGAGAUGUGGAGGAAUACCAGUGGCGAAGGCGCCUUGCUGGACAGUGACUGACGCUGAGGCACGAAAGUGUGGGGAGCAAACAGGAUUAGAUACCCUGGUAGUCCACGCCGUAAACGAUGAGUGCUAGGUGUUGGGGGUUACCGCCCUCAGUGCCGAAGGAAACCCAAUAAGCACUCC
rnacentral:rRNA from 1 species